rnacentral:rRNA from 1 species
UACAGAGGUCUCAAGCGUUGUUCGGAUUCAUUGGGCGUAAAGGGUGCGUAGGUGGCGCCAUAAGUCAGGUGUGAAAUCUCGGGGCUCAACCCCGAAACUGCACUUGAUACUGUGGUGCUUGAGUACUGGAGAGGAGAUUGGAAUUUACGGUGUAGCAGUGAAAUGCGUAGAUAUCGGGAGGAACACCUGUGGCGAAAGCGGCUCACUGGACCACAACUGACGCUGAGGCGCGAAAGCUAGGGGAGCAAACAGG